GAUGAAGAACGCAGCGAAAUGCGAUACGUAAUGUGAAUUGCAGAAUUCAGUGAAUCAUCGAAUCUUUGAACGCAUAUUGCGCUCUCUGGUAUUCCGGAGAGCAUGCUUGUUUGAGUAUCAGUAAACACCUCAACUUCCAUAUCUUUUUUGAAAUGGGAGUUGGACUUGAGUGAUCCCAACGCUUUUCCUCACCGAAAAGUGGCGGGUUACUUGAAAUGCAGGUGCAGCUGGACUUUUCUCUGAGCUAUAAGCAUAUCUAUUUAGUCUGCCUAAAAAACAUAUUAUUACCUUUGCUGCAGCUAACAUAAAGGAGAUUAGUUCUUGUGCUGACUGAUGCAGGAUUCACAAAGACAGGCUUCGGCCGACUUUGUAAACUCGAUCUCAAAUCAAGUAAGACUACCCGCUGAACUUAAGCAUAUCAAUAAGCGGAGGA
rnacentral:misc_RNA from 1 species